UACGUAGGGUCCGAGCGUUGUCCGGAAUUACUGGGCGUAAAGAGCGUGUAGGCGGGUCUUUAAGUGAGAGGUGAAAAGGUUCAGGGCUCAACCCGAACACUGCCUUUCAUACUGGGGACCUUGAGGGCGGGAGAGGCGAGUGGAAUGGUCGGUGUAGCGGUGAAAUGCGUAGAUAUCGAUCGGAACACCCAUGGCGAAGGCAGCUGACUAGGCUGUUACUGACGCUGAGGCACGACAGCCGUGGGGGGAGCGAACAGGAUUAGAAAACCCUUG
rnacentral:rRNA from 1 species